AGGGGCGUAGUUCUAAUGGUAGAGCAGCGGUUUCCAAAACCGACGGUUGAGAGUUCGAGUCUUUCCGCCCCUGCCA
rnacentral:tRNA from 2 species